AAAGUUCAAAACUGGAGUUCCCAUCUUUUUUGCAAAUUAAAAUCCCGAGAAAUGAAAGACCUUUCCUCCCAGAUUUGAAUUCCCCAAGUCUUGGCCAGCGGAGCUCCCCCAGCUGGAUUAUGAGUGUCUCCCCCCACCCCUCGAGGAGCUGCUUUAUGCCUCGUCUGUCCGGGUUGGAUGUGUCUCUCGGCGACAAGGAGGCCUCGUAAAACCUGUCGAUUCGGGCUUUUCCUUCUCCUUUGGCCUCUUGACUCAGCUGCAGGAAUGCCAGGAACCGAAGCUGCUGUUAAGGCUUCUGGAGAAGGCCACCUCUUCCUGCCGCCCAGAUGUUUGUGGUCCUGGCCUUCUCCUGAGUUGUCACGUUUGGCUGCACAUAGCAAGAGAAAAAGCCGGCGUCAGAGGUAAAAGUAGCCGUUACCCAAACAUAUCCUGCCUAUCUUUGUCACCUCCUCUCUGAGAAGCAGAAGUCCACCAGGAUUUACUUUCU